GCGACAGCCAUUAAAGAUGUCCUGUCUCCUACAGUUUUCAGUAGUUGAAGGUGAAGUUGGUUCGUUGUUUGUUUAUCCUCUAUUUUAUCGCGUCAUCAAGUUGAUGAUGAUUUUUGAUUGCUGAAGGUCUUAAAUUAAGACGAAGGUGGGAAUAGAACUGCAGAUACAUAUUAUACUAAAAUCCACCAUGACAGAUGAAUAUGAUGCCAAGGAUUAGAUUUGAAAAAAGUUCUUCUCCUCUCUACAUUUGAUGAAAGCCAUUUUCAGCAAAGGUGGGAAAUAGAAGUGCAGACGCAUAUACCAAAAUCCACCAUGACAGACGAAUAUGCUGCCAACUACAGUUUUAGAUUUAAAACUCCUUUCUACAUCUGAUGGAAACCAUUUUCAGACCAAGAGCAGAGAGACUACGCCUCAUGAAGCUCAAAUUGAGGACGAUAGCAUUUCAAAGUAAAAAUAUAUA
rnacentral:lncRNA from 1 species